rnacentral:misc_RNA from 1 species
GAUGAAGAACGCAGCGAAAUGCGAUAAGUAAUGUGAAUUGCAGAAUUCAGUGAAUCAUCGAAUCUUUGAACGCACAUUGCGCCCGCCAGUAUUUUGGCGGGCAUGCCUGUCCGAGCGUCAUUUCAACCAUCAAGCCCCCGGGCUUGUGUUGGGGACCUGCGGCUGCCCGCAGGCCCUGAAAACCAGUGGCGGGCUCGCUGUCACACCGAGCGUAGUAGCAAUCACCUCGCUCAGGGCGUGCUGCGGGUUCCGGCCGUUAAACAGCCUUACAAAACCCAAGGUUGACCUCGGAUCAGGUAGGAAGACCCGCUGAACUUAAGCAUAUCAAUAAGCGGAGGA